rnacentral:tRNA from 1 species
GCGCCCGUGGCUCAGCUGGAUAGAGCGCACCCCUCCGGAGGGUGAGGUCAGAGGUUCGAAUCCUCUCGGGCGCACCA